rnacentral:rRNA from 1 species
GACGAACGCUGGCGGCGUGCUUAACACAUGCAAGUCGAACGGAAAGGCCCUGCUUGCAGGGUACUCGAGUGGCGAACGGGUGAGUAACACGUGGGUGAUCUGCCCUGCACUUCGGGAUAAGCUUGGGAAACUGGGUCUAAUACCGGAUAGGAGCCAUCUUUAGUGUGGUGGUUGGAAAGUUUUUUCGGUGUAGGAUGAGCUCGCGGCCUAUCAGCUUGUUGGUGGGGGUAUGGCCUACCAAGGCGGCGACGGGGAGCCGGCAUGAGAGGGUGUACGGCCACAUUGGGACUGAGAUACGGCCCAGACUCGGACGGGUGGCAGAAGGGGGGAAUAUUGCACAAUGGGCGCAAGCGUGAGGCAUGGAGGCCGCGUGGUGGUUGAAGGCCUUCGGGUUGUAAACUCCUUUCGGUAGGGAAGAAGCUUUUUUGUGACGGUACCUAGAUAAGAAGCACCGGCUAACUACGUG